AUAGAGACUGACUCAUUUUGAAAAUAACACAUCGUGCCUUGAGUGUUGCAGAGAUGACCUUAGGAGGAAAGUUAAUUUAGAAAAGAUACUCAAUUUGGUAUUAUCUCCAAAUGUUGAUUCCUGGAAUCAUUACUCAUUACUUAGUCAGGCAAAACUUCCCUGGAUUUCAAGGGCUCUGGCUGGUGCCAAGAGGAAACUGGCCUGGGAGAGGAUGAAAUCGUAACUCCAGAAUUUGAACCUCUACCUCUUGCAGUUCACCUACCAUAGCAGCGAAGGGCUAACCCUUUGCUUGAACAGUGUGGAUUAUUAGGAAACAACCAUGAACAGCUCAAAGAAACCAAACUUUAUUUGUUUUGCCUUCAUGCACUAGAGAGGAAGCAGCACAAACUCUGCAUCUUGGGAGGAACCUGCAGAAAGGACUGCGAUCUCCGUCAGCCGGCUGAGUGUCCUGUGCAGAGAGAAGAAAAAAAGGAAAGAUCUCACAAAGAGUUUAUCUGAACUUUAUACAUUCUUGUAGUGCUGCUCUGGAACAAGUUCUGCUUUGGUUCACUCAGAGUUCAAUCUUUGGAGACUUAAAGUGCUCACUCAAAUGCACUGAACAAGAGGAAUGCUUCAGCUCCAAUCAGCUCCUGUCUUCUUUGGAAAUGCUGGCCCUGAGGCUCUGCCUAAUAACCUGUGAUCAGCAUCCCAGUCAUGUGCUGGAUAGACAACUGAAGAAGCUCACAGACCUGUCUUUCCACGAUUUGGACAAAGCAAAUAAGGUCCAUCAGAUGCAAGUCUCCAGCUGCCAUGCAAGGAAGGACCUUGGGCUCUGCUAGUUCCUUUUAGCUCAACUUUUUGGAAGAGAAAACUAGAGGAUGUAAUGUACCAGAUGGCGUGAAGAAGAGGUUCAGGAAUUCUAGUGGCAACCGCUACUAUUACAAAAAUAAAGGUAAGGCCCAGUUUUAUGAUGAACCUUGA
ensembl:lncRNA